UACGUAGGUGGCAAGCGUUAUCCGGAAUUAUUGGGCGUAAAGCGCGCGCAGGCGGUUUCUUAAGUCUGAUGUGAAAGCCCACGGCUCAACCGUGGAGGGUCAUUGGAAACUGGGGAACUUGAGUGCAGAAGAGAAAAGCGGAAUUCCACGUGUAGCGGUGAAAUGCGUAGAGAUGUGGAGGAACACCAGUGGCGAAGGCGGCCGGCUGGGCCGGAUCCGACGCUGAGGCGCGAAAGCGUGGGGAGCAAACAGG
rnacentral:rRNA from 1 species